rnacentral:rRNA from 1 species
GUGCGUAACGCGUGGGAACCUGCCCUUAGGUUUGGAAUAACGUUCCGAAAGGAACGCUAAUACCAAAUAAUGUCUUCGGACCAAAGAUUUAUCGCCUUUGGAUGGGCCCGCGUAGGAUUAGCUAGUUGGUGGGGUAAAGGCUCACCAAGGCGACGAUCCUUAGCUGGUCUUAGAGGAUGAUCAGCCACACUGGGACUGAGACACGGCCCAGACUCCUACGGGAGGCAGCAGUGGGGAAUAUUGGACAAUGGGCGAAAGCCUGAUCCAGCAAUGCCGCGUGAGUGAUGAAGGCCUUAGGGUUGUAAAGCUCUUUUACCAGGGAUGAUAAUGACAGUACCUGGAGAAUAAGCUCCGGCUAACUCCGUGCCAGCAGCCGCGGUAAUACGGAGGGAGCUAGCGUUGUUCGGAAAUACUGGGCGUAAAGCGCACGUAGGCGGCUUUUCAAGUCAGGGGUGAAAUCCCGGGGCUCAACCCCGGAACUGCCCUUGAAACUGGAUCGCUAGAAUAUUGGAGAGGCAAGUGGAAUUCCGAGUGUAGAGGUGAAAUUCGUAGAUAUUCGGAAGAACACCAGUGGCGAAGGCGACUUGCU